rnacentral:rRNA from 1 species
GGUUAAGCGACUAAGCGUACACGGUGGAUGCCCUGGCAGUCAGAGGCGAUGAAGGACGUGCUAAUCUGCGAAAAGCGUCGGUAAGGUGAUAUGAACCGUUAUAACCGGCGAUGUCCGAAUGGGGAAACCCAGUGCAAUUCGUUGCACUAUCGUUAACUGAAUACAUAGGUUAACGAGGCGAACCGGGGGAACUGAAACAUCUAAGUACCCCGAGGAAAAGAAAUCAACCGAGAUUCCCCAGUAGCGGCGAGCGAACGGGGAGCAGCCCAGAGUCUGAAUCAGCUUGUGUGUUAGUGGAACGGUCUGGAAAGUCCGACGGUACAGGGUGAUAGUCCCGUACACCAAAAUGCACAGGCUGUGAACUCGAAGAGUAGGGCGGGACACGUGGUAUCCUGUCUGAAUAUGGGGGGACCAUCCUCCAAGGCUAAAUACUCCUGACUGACCGAUAGUGAACCAGUACCGUGAGGGAAAGGCGAAAAGAACCCCGGCGAGGGGAGUGAAAAAGAACCUGAAACCGUGUACGUACAAGCAGUGGGAGCACCUUCGGGUGUGACUGCGUACCUUUUGUAUAAUGGGUCAGCGACUUAUAUUCUGUAGCAAGGUUAACCGUAUAGGGGAGCCGCAGGGAAACCGAGUCUUAACUGGGCGUUAAGUUGCAGGGUAUAGACCCGAAACCCGGUGAUCUAGCCAUGGGCAGGUUGAAGGUUGGGUAACACUAACUGGAGGACCGAACCGACUAAUGUUGAAAAAUUAGCGGAUGACUUGUGGCUGGGGGUGAAAGGCCAAUCAAACCGGGAGAUAGCUGGUUCUCCCCGAAAGCUAUUUAGGUAGCGCCUCGUGAACUCAUCUUCGGGGGUAGAGCACUGUUUCGGCUAGGGGGUCAUCCCGACUUACCAACCCGAUGCAAACUACGAAUACCGAAGAAUGUUAUCACGGGAGACACACGGCGGGUGCUAACGUCCGUCGUGAAGAGGGAAACAACCCAGACCGCCAGCUAAGGUCCCAAAGUCAUGGUUAAGUGGGAAACGAUGUGGGAAGGCACAGACAGCCAGGAUGUUGGCUUAGAAGCAGCCAUCAUUUAAAGAAAGCGUAAUAGCUCACUGGUCGAGUCGGCCUGCGCGGAAGAUGUAACGGGGCUAAACCAUGCACCGAAGCUGCGGCAGCGACACUAUGUGUUGUUGGGUAGGGGAGCGUUCUGUAAGCCUGCGAAGGUGUGCUGUGAGGCAUGCUGGAGGUAUCAGAAGUGCGAAUGCUGACAUAAGUAACGAUAAAGCGGGUGAAAAGCCCGCUCGCCGGAAGACCAAGGGUUCCUGUCCAACGUUAAUCGGGGCAGGGUGAGUCGACCCCUAAGGCGAGGCCGAAAGGCGUAGUCGAUGGGAAACAGGUUAAUAUUCCUGUACUUGGUGUUACUGCGAAGGGGGACGGAGAAGGCUAUGUUAGCCGGGCGACGGUUGUCCCGGUUUAAGCAUGUAGGCUGAUUGUCCAGGCAAAUCCGGAUAAUCAAGGCUGAGGUGUGAUGACGAGGCACUACGGUGCUGAAGUAACAAAUGCCCUGCUUCCAGGAAAAGCCUCUAAGCAUCAGGUAACAUCAAAUCGUACCCCAAACCGACACAGGUGGUCAGGUAGAGAAUACCAAGGCGCUUGAGAGAACUCGGGUGAAGGAACUAGGCAAAAUGGUGCCGUAACUUCGGGAGAAGGCACGCUGGUGUGUAGGUGAAGUCCCUGCGGAUGGAGCUGAGACCAGUCGAAGAUACCAGCUGGCUGCAACUGUUUAUUAAAAACACAGCACUGUGCAAACACGAAAGUGGACGUAUACGGUGUGACGCCUGCCCGGUGCCGGAAGGUUAAUUGAUGGGGUUAUCCGUAAGGAGAAGCUCUUGAUCGAAGCCCCGGUAAACGGCGGCCGUAACUAUAACGGUCCUAAGGUAGCGAAAUUCCUUGUCGGGUAAGUUCCGACCUGCACGAAUGGCGUAAUGAUGGCCAGGCUGUCUCCACCCGAGACUCAGUGAAAUUGAACUCGCUGUGAAGAUGCAGUGUACCCGCGGCAAGACGGAAAGACCCCGUGAACCUUUACUAUAGCUUGACACUGAACAUUGAGCCUUGAUGUGUAGGAUAGGUGGGAGGCUUUGAAGCGUGGACGCCAGUCUGCGUGGAGCCAACCUUGAAAUACCACCCUUUAAUGUUUGAUGUUCUAACGUUGGCCCCUGACCGGGGUUGCGGACAGUGUCUGGUGGGUAGUUUGACUGGGGCGGUCUCCUCCCAAAGCGUAACGGAGGAGCACGAAGGUUAGCUAAUCCUGGUCGGACAUCAGGAGGUUAGUGCAAUGGCAUAAGCUAGCUUGACUGCGAGCGUGACGGCGCGAGCAGGUGCGAAAGCAGGUCAUAGUGAUCCGGUGGUUCUGAAUGGAAGGGCCAUCGCUCAACGGAUAAAAGGUACUCCGGGGAUAACAGGCUGAUACCGCCCAAGAGUUCAUAUCGACGGCGGUGUUUGGCACCUCGAUGUCGGCUCAUCACAUCCUGGGGCUGAAGUAGGUCCCAAGGGUAUGGCUGUUCGCCAUUUAAAGUGGUACGCGAGCUGGGUUUAGAACGUCGUGAGACAGUUCGGUCCCUAUCUGCCGUGGGCGCUGGAGAAUUGAGGGGGGCUGCUCCUAGUACGAGAGGACCGGAGUGGACGCAUCACUGGUGUUCGGGUUGUCAUGCCAAUGGCACUGCCCGGUAGCUAAAUGCGGAAGAGAUAAGUGCUGAAAGCAUCUAAGCACGAAACUUGCCCCGAGAUGAGUUCUCCCUGAGACUUUAAGUCUCCUGAAGGAACGUUAAAGACGAUGACGUUGAUAGGCCGGGUGUGUAAGCGCAGCGAUGCGUUGAGCUAACCGGUACUAAUGAACCGUGAGGCUUAACCUU